GACGAACGCUGGCGGCGUGCCUAAUACAUGCAAGUUGAGCGCUGAAGGUUGGUACUUGUACCAACUGGAUGAGCAGCGAACGGGUGAGUAACGCGUGGGGAAUCUGCCUUUGAGCGGGGGACAACAGUUGGAAACGAAUGCUAAUACCGCAUAAAAACUUUAAACACAAGUUUUAAGUUUGAAAGAUGCAAUUGCAUCACUCAAAGAUGAUCCCGCGUUGUAUUAGCUAGUUGGUGAGGUAAAGGCUCACCAAGGCGAUGAUACAUAGCCGACCUGAGAGGGUGAUCGGCCACAUUGGGACUGAGACACGGCCCAAACUCCUACGGGAGGCAGCAGUAGGGAAUCUUCGGCAAUGGACGAAAGUCUGACCGAGCAACGCCGCGUGAGUGAAGAGGGUUUUCGGAUCGUAAAACUCUGUUGGUAGAGAAGAACGUUGGUGAGAGUGGAAAGCUCAUCAAGUGACGGUAACUAACCAGAAAGGGACGGCUAACUACGUG
rnacentral:rRNA from 1 species